AGGGCACCACCAGGAGUGGAGCCUGCGGCUUAAUUUGACUCAACACGGGAAAACUCACCCGGCCCGGACACCGCAAGGAUUGACAGAUUGAGAGCUCUUUCUUGAUUCGGUGGUUGGUGGUGCAUGGCCGUUCUUAGUUGGUGGAGCGAUUUGUCUGGUUUAUUCCGAUAACGAGCGAGACUCUAGCCUACUAAAUAGUGACCGGAUAGCUUGGUCCGGGUCACUUCUUAGAGGGACAAGCGGUGUUCAGCCGCAAUAAGUUGAGCAGUAACAGGUCUGUGAUGCCCUUAGAUGUCCGGGGCUGCACGCGCGCUACACUGGAGGAAUCAGCGUGCUUGACCCAUUGCCGAAAGGCAUUGGUAAACCCUUGAAAAUCCUCCGUGAUCGGGAUCGGGAAUUGCAAUUAUUUCCCUUGAACGAGGAAUUCCCAGUAAGUGUGAGUCAUCAGCUCACGUUGAUUACGUCCCUGCCCUUUGUACACACCGCCCGUCGCUACUACCGAUUGAAUGUUUUAGUGAG
rnacentral:rRNA from 1 species